rnacentral:rRNA from 1 species
AACGUAGGAGACGAGCGUUAUCCGGAUUUACUGGGCGUAAAGCGUGUGUAGGUGGUCUGGAAAGUUGGAUGUAAAAGCUCCUGGCUUAACUGGGAGAUGUCGUUCAAAACUACCGGACUAGAGGAUGGGAGAGGGAGGUGGAAUUCCGGGUGUAGUGGUGAAAUGCGUAGAUAUCCGGAGGAACACCAGUGGCGAAAGCGGCCUCCUGGUCCAUAACUGACACUCAGACACGAAAGCUAGGGGAGCGAACGGGAUUAGAGACCCCGGUAGUCCUAGCUGUAAACGAUGUAGACUUGGCGUCGGUGGGUUCAAAUCCAUCGGUGCCGAAGCAAACGCGAUAAGUCUACCGCCUGGGGAUUACGGCCGCAAGGUUAAA